AAAGUGACUAGGCAUCAGGAUAGAUAAUAAUAAGGUAUUUGAGGUAGAUAUGUACAUGAAGCCAGGGUAAAGUGACUAGGCAUCAGGAUAGAUAAUAAUAAGGUACCUGCGCCAAAUACAACAUGAGCCAGACCUUACAGUGAAAUGCUUACUUACAAGCCCUUAAGACUUCUUAGGGAUCAAAUCCCAUUAGCGGGAUCGAUUUGACAACAUCCUGUGAAAUGGCAGAGCGCCAAAUGAAACUACGAGAAAUAUUAAACUUUCAUGAAAUCACACAUGCAAUACACCAAAUUAAAGUUACACUUGUUGUUAAUCCAGCCAACGUGUCAGAUUUCAAAAAGGCUUUACAGCAAAAGCAAACUGUGCGAUUAUCUGAGGAUAGCACCCCGUCAAACAUACACAGACAAUCUUAAUUCAACCCGCAAAGUGCGACACAAAACUCAGAAAUAAAGAUAUAAUUCAUGCCUUACUUUUGGCGAGCUUCUUCUGUUGGCACUCCAAUAUGUCCCAUAAACAUCACAAAUGGUCCUUUUGUUCGAUUAAUUCCGUCAUUAUAUAUCCAAAAUGUCCAUUUAUUUGGCGCGUUUGAUCCAGAAAAACACCGGUUCCAACUCGCGCAACAUGACUACAAAAUAUCUCACAAGUUACCUGUAAUCUUUGUCCAAACAUUUCAAACAACUUUCCUAAUACAACUUUAGGUAUUUUUUAACGUAAAUAAUCGCUAAAAUUUAAGACGGGAUAAACUGCGUUCAAUAACGGACGAAAACAAAGUGGAGCGUGCUUUCAUGUCACACGACUCUAACAAACAACACACUUCACUCGACCCUCGUUCUGAACAGGGCUACUUCUUCAUGACACAAAGGAAAAACAUCAACCAAUUUCUAAAUACUGUUGACAUCCAGUGGAAGCGAUAGGAACUGCAAGCAAGUGAUUUAAAAAACCAGAUCCCCAUAGAAAACCCAUUGAAAAGAGAGUGACCUCAACAACAACAAAAAUCCUGGAUGGUUUGUCCUCAGGGUUUCGCCUACCAAAUAAGUUCUGUUAUACUCACAGGCAUCAUUCAAACAGUUUUCGAAACUUCAUAGUGUUUACUAUCCAAAUCUACUAAUAAUAUGCAUAUCCUAGCUUCUGGGCCUGAGUAGCAGGCAGUUUACUUUGGGCACGCUUUUCAUCCGGACGUGAAAAUACCACCCCUAGCCUAGAGAGGUUUUAACCAACAAUGCAGUUUUAAGAAAAAUAAGCGUUAAGAAAGUAUAUACUAAAAUAAACUGAAGUAAAAAAAUAAAUAAAAACAAAAUAAAAAAAUUAAAGAGCAACAGUAAAACAACAGUAGCAUGGCUGUAUACAGGGGGUACCGGUACAGAGUCAAUGUGCGGUGGCACAGGUUAGUUGAGGUAAUAUGUACAUGUAGUUAGUGGAAAGGUUGGCACAUAGCUUAUCUUUGUAUGUUUGUGUUUGUACCUUAUAUGUAUUAAAUGGUUUGGUUUAGCUCCUGUUAAUAUCUCAACUCCUAUUUCACAAAGUUUGUUUUGGAGUUUUGGUGCUGUAUCUGUCUAGGCUCAUGAGGAAGGGUUCACGGACAAAGAUUGAGUCAAAUCCUGACUGGAAAUCAUUUUAAUCUGGACAUAGCAAAAUACCCAUAAUAUUUAAAAUAGACAGAAUCCUAAAUUUCAGGAGCCUGUAACGCUGGACUUCCUGGACGCUGAGCUGGAGGAUGAGAUUAAAGUAGAGAUAAGAACGAACAUGAUUCAUGGAGAAACCGGCCACCGCACCGUACACACACUAGUGAAGUCCCAGGAUGAGCGGUACAUAGACCGAAGCGAAAGAUCGUACACAUAUGCCCCUGUAAAGGGUACAGAUUACAGG